AUCUACGGACAUUCCACCCUAACGACCCCGAUCCUGUCUGAUCUCGGAAGCUAAGCAGGGUCGGGCCUGGUUAGUACUUGGAUGGGAGACCACCCAGGAAGACCAGGUGCUGUAGGCG
rnacentral:rRNA from 1 species